CAUUGAAUGGCUGAAAUUUAAGCGAUGGUCUCUUAAACCAAUCAAUAGUAUUUUUACUUUCAAUGG
rnacentral:tRNA from 1 species